rnacentral:lncRNA from 1 species
GGGUGUGGUACUGAGGCUUCAGCGGGUGCCGCCCGCCUAGAGGGAGUGGAGCGAGAGCCUACGACUAGAUUUGCAUCUUUACGUCCUGCGCGGAGGCUGCUACACACAUGCAGAAGUCAUGCUGGUGGCCUGGACAUUGAAGGGAGAGAAGUGGAUUUGGGAGACAUUUAGGAGAUGGCACCGAAAGCGAAGGAAGCUCCUGCUCCUCCUAAAGCCGAAGCCAAAGCGAAGGCUUUAAAGGCCAAGAAGGCAGUGUUGAAAGGUGUCCGCAGCCACACGCAAAAAAGAGGAUCCGCAUGUCACUCACCUUCAGGCGGCCCAAGACACUGUGACUCCGGAGGCAGCCCAGAUAGCCUCAGAAGAGCACCCCCAGGAGAAACAAGCUUGGCCACUAUGCUAUCAUCAAGUUUCCGCUGACCACUGAGUCGGCCGUGAAGAAGAUAGAAGAAAACAACACGCUUGUGUUCACUGUGGAUGUUAAAGCCAACAAGCACCAGAUCAGACAGGCUGUGAAGAAGCUCUAUGACAGUGAUGUGGCCAAGGUCACCACCCUGAUUUGUCCUGAUAAAGAGAAGAAGGCAUAUGUUCGACUUGCUCCUGAUUAUGAUGCUUUCGAUGUUGUAACAAAAUUGGGAUCACCUAAACUGAGUCCAGCUGGCUAACUCUAAAUAUAUGUGUAUCUUUUCAGCAUAAAAAAAUAAUGUUUUUCAUAAGAAUGACAACUUAAUUAGAAUCAAAUCUAUAAGCUUUAAGAUUUUACGUUUCUAGUAAGUAUAAUAUUAGCUUAUUUGACUAGAACUCAAGCAGAAUAGGAAUUUAUGCUUGUUUUAUAUUCAAUAAUGAUAAUUUUGAAGAUAUAGUUGUUUUAUUACACCAAAAAUACUAUAUUAAUCUUAUUUAACUAAGUUUUAUCCAAAUCAUGUUAACUUAAGAAACAUUUGAUCAGUUCCUAUAUUUCUAGGAGUUUGGUGAAUAUUUAUUUAUAAAUGCUUAUUUUUUUCCAAGCCAAGUUAGAAUAGAGCACUUUUAGAGGAUUUCAUAAAUGAAUUUUGCAAUGCUCUCUGGAGUUAAGAAAAUAUCACAUAUACAUAACAUACAUUAUUAGAUACACAAACACAAAUAGAGAUUUCAUAGCUUUCAUCCUGAAAUUUCAGCCAUGAAUCAGGCAUAAAUAUUCUGAUGGUUAAUUUCAGACAUCUACUUGAUCGGAUUGAGAGACACACAUAGUGGUCAAACACGAUUUCAGCCAUGAAUCAGGCAUAAAUAUUCUGAUGGUUAAUUUUAGACAUCUACUUGACUGGAUUAAGAGACACACAUAGCUGGUCAAACAUGAUUUCAGCCAUGAAUCAGCCAUAAAUAUUCUGAUGGUUAAUUUUAGACAUCUACUUGAGUGGAUUAAGAGACACACAUAGCUGGUCAAACACAAUUUCAGCCAUGAAUCAGGCAUAAAUAUUUUGACGGUUAAUUUUAGACAUCUACUUGAUCGGAUUGAGAGACACACAUAGCUGGUCAAACACGAUUUCAGCCAUGAAUCAGGCAUAAAUAUUCUGAUGGUUAAUUUUAGACAUCUACUUGAGUGGAUUGAGAGACACACAUAGCUGGUCAAACACAAUUUCAGCCAUGAAUCAGGCAUAAAUAUUCUGACGGUUAAUUUUAGACAUCUACUUGACUGGAUUGAGAGACACACAUAGCUGGUCAAACACGAUUUCAGCCAUGAAUCAGGCAUAAAUAUUCUGAUGGUUAAUUGUAGACGUCUACUUGACUGGAUUGAGAGACACACAUAGCUGGUCAAACACGAUUUCAGCCAUGAAUCAGGCAUAAAUAUUCUGAUGGUUAAUUGUAGACGUCUACUUGACUGGAUUGAGAGACACACACAGCUGGUCAAACACGAUUUCUGGGCAUAUCUAUGAGGGCGUUUCUGGAAGACACUGAGAUAACCAUGACCCAAUGUGGAUGGGCACUGAUAUGGUUUGGCUGUGUCCCCACCCAGAUCUCAUCUUGAAUUGUAGUUCCUGUAAUACCUACAUGUCGUGGGAGGGACCCAAUGGGAGGUGACUGAAUCGUGGUGGUGGUUACUGCCAUGAUGUUCUCAUGACAGUGAGUGAGUUCUCAUGAUCUGAUGGUUUUAUAAGGGGCUUUUCCCCUUUGGCUCAGCACUUCUUGUUGCUGCCAUGUGAAGAGGGAUAGCUUUGCUUCCCCUUCUGCCAUGAUUGUGAGGCCCCUGCAGCCAUGUGGAACUGUCAGCCCAUUAAACCCCUUUGUUCUUUAUAAAUUGCUCAGACUCAGGUAUUUCUUCAUAGCUGUAUAAAAAUGGAUGAAUACAGGCAGCAUCCAAUUGGUUGAGAGCCCAGAUAGAAUAACAAGGAAGAGGAAAGGUGAAUUAUCUCCUUCUGAAAUGGAAACAUCCUUCUUCUCCUGCCCUUGACAUCAGAACUUCAGGGUCUCAGACCUUUGGCCUCACAAUCAGAGUUACACCAUUGGCUUCCCUGAUUCUGAGUCCUUUGUAUCUGGAGUGAGCCAUGCUACCAGCUUUCCUGGUUCUCCAACUUGGAGACAGGCUAUUGUGGAACUUCUCAGCCUCCAUAAUUAUGUGAACCAGUUCCCCUAAUGAAUCUUCUCUCAUCUGUCUACAUAUAUCCUAUUGAUUCUGCCUUUCUGGAGACCCCUGACUAAUGUGAUUACAAUAACUACAAAAUUCACUAGUUUAUAUAGAAGACUUGGUUUUUGUCUUUGCCCCAUUUUAUAUUUGUAUUAUAACUAUGUAUCUGGAAAAUGGAACAAGUUUUUUCUUCUUCAUAUGAGGGCUAAGGCUUUUUUCUCACCAAUAUUUUUGGAGAUUUUAAAGAUUUUCUUUUUUUUGACAUAGAAUCUUAUGGAGGCUGAGAAAUAAUUUUUUUUCUAUUUUAUUCUUCAGCCCCAGGUGUUUGCUUUUGCAGAUUCUUGAGCACAUUGAGAGCCUCCAAGGCAUGGAGUGGGGUGCCUGAAGUUUCAGUGAUUAUAGGGAGUUGAGAGACUCAACUGGGAAAGGAAAGGUCUAAAAGGAGGCAAUUUGGAAGAUAAAAAUUUUCUCAAAGGAGCCAUUAAAGUUGUAAAUAAUUCUUAGUAAAGUCAUGCAAACAGGAAAAGAAGUAGAAUUAGUUCCAUAUUGGUGGAACACAUAGUCAGCAGAGGUUUGAGAAGGGAGAAUUCAGUGAACUGAGAAGUUCCCAUGAAAGCAGCAAGAUCAAGAUCACAGAGACCCCUUGAAACAAAAAGCCAGGAAUAACUUCCAACCCAAGAGGAGAACAGAGAGGCCUCAAAACCAAAGCUAGGAUAAGAAACUUGUAGCCCAAGAGUUAUCUUCCAGACAAAGAAGCCUGAGAUUCCAACGCAGCUUCAGAGAGUGCUCACUCAAAAUGUUACUGAAACUGUAGGCUUUUUAAUGACUUAGCCAUGCCUGCAAAAGGCAUUCCCUAAGGUGGCACAGAAGACGGAGCCCCCAUAUCCAAAGAUAGCCAAGGAGAAAGAAAGACCCCUGUUGCCAUAGCCAGUGGGCAAAGGCAACAGAAAAGGAGACAAGGGUCCUAAUGGGAUGAGAUCCUUUCAGAUUUAGGCUUAUACAAACUCCUGAGAACUGGCAGGUUGACAGCCAUAAAUGGGGUACCAAACUUUCUACUCAUUGGAUUACAAGUUCUCAGGCAUCCAGAAUGAUUAACAAAAUGACAAUUUCUAGGGCUUCUGUGGGAGAGUAUGGAAAGGUCUUUUUGAACCUUUUAAUGCUGUCAACGGAAAAAUGAUGAGGUUCAUAAAUUUGGAAAGGAGACAUUUCUUCAUUUCUAUGCUUAUUUUUAUUUUUUUUUGAGACAGAGUUUCACUCUUGUUGCCCAGGCUGGAGUGCAAUGGCAUGAUCUUGGUUCACUGCAACCUCCGCCUCCUGGGUUCAAGCGAUUCUCCUGCCUCAGCCUCCUGAUUAGCUGGGAUUACAGAUGCCCACCACCACACCUGGCUAAUUUUUUGCAGUUUUGGUAGCGACAGGGUUUCAUCAUGUUGGCCAGGCUGGUCUGAAACUCCUGACCUCAGGUGAUCCACCCACCUCGGCCUCCCAAAGUGCUGGGAUUACAGGCAUGAGCCACCCACCCAGUGAGAGAUUUAUUAUCUAUAAAGGGUUGUAGCCUGCAGGGUUGUCCUUCUGACAGGCUGGGAAGCAUAGCCUCCAGCCAGAAGCCAGAAACAGACGCUUCAAGGAGGAGGUAAAGGAAAUAGCAAUUUAUGCUGAGUGGAAUGGCCAAAUAGAUUUAUUUAAUAAGCUCUAGGAGGAGUCAUGAAUAUUUAUGGAAGGAGAAAUGCAUGCACGCACAAUUGAGUUUCUUGCUUCUUCAUGGGUCCCAUGUACAAAAAAUGGCAGUGUUAGCAUGAUCCCAGGGUGGAGUUUUCAGCCCUCUGACAUUAAAAGGUGAAGCAGAGGACAUGAAAACUCGCUCUGUGCAUCCUCUGUACGCUGGCCAGAACCUCUCCAUCGUGGGUGGUCUCUUAUCAGGCAAGAAAGGAGAGGUUGAUAUCAGUGGUGGAGGCUUUGAAAGGGCUGGUUUCUGUUAAAUCCUUAGGGAAGAAAGCCUCAUCAUGGUUAGCAAAGGAGGGGGUAUAACGAUGUGUAUCUUAACCCCAUCAUCCCAUCCUAGCAAAGCUGAGAACUCAGUUUUGAAAGUUACUCUGGGGUCCCCUCAGCCAAGAGUGGGUCUGUUCAGUCAGUUGGGAGCUUAGAAUUUCAUUUUCAUUUAUCAAUGCUAAUGCGAAAGAGUACGCUGUCUUCAUGGCAGCUGAAUUUGCAAGAAACUCCUUGGAUGGGGUUAAUGGCAGCUGUAUUUUUCUGGGAGCUCUGCUUUAAUUGGAUAAAGUAAGUUCUGGUAAGAUUUCUUCAUCUUCAGUAUCUCAAAUGUUUUCAUUUAAAUAAUCUUUAUAACAACUUUUGAUGUCUGAGUGGAUUCCCACACAGUCAUCUAUUGUAAGACUUUCUGAUUCCUUUUUUUUCCUUUGGUCAUUAUGAAUAGGGCUUCUGUAAAUAACUGCAUGGUAGCUUUUGAUGGGAAAUAACAUCAAAGUAGUUGUCAAAAUACUUAGGAAUGUUAUUUUUGGAUUGUAAGGUGAGACUUGUUUAGCUUUGGAAAAAAAUGCACAACUUGUAAUAGGGGAGGAAAAAUAAUUUUCUGUUUUUGGAAUUCUUAGAUGGAACGCUCUGUAAAAACUGACAGAUUAAAAUGAGAAAAACAGAAAAGUUUAAAAACAUGUAUAUCUUAUGGUUACAUGGGAGAUACUCAGGGAAAAAUGAGUAAAUCUCCAACAGGUGGCUUUCAAUUCAAGCAUAAAUACUAUCUUCAACUUAAAGAAAGAAGAUUUGAGGUGCAGUAGUGGGGAGCUAACCAGCAAAAGCACAUUAGACAAGGGUAAGGUGCGUUAUACAGACUUAAGUCCACGCAUUCUCCAUUGAUAAGACUCUUCAGUGAUUUAGUUAUCCUUCUCUUCUUGGCGUCGAGAGAGGUAGCUUUUAAAUGGUGAUUUCCUUUAUAGAUGUAAAUUUUCCUUACACAAGUAACUUCUCUAUUUUCACAACUUCCUUUGUUAGCAUUUUUUUUCAAAAUAAUUAGCUUGGAAUAAUUCUUAAGCCAAAGGGACAUAUUUUGGGGUUGCAUAUUCUGGUUUCCUACCAUUAUAUUUCGGGGUGGCAUAGUUUGGUCUUAUACACUGUGUUCCACUGGCAAUGAAAAGAGUUCUUGGUUUUCCUCCAGCAAUUUGUCAUUUGUUAAAGAGCUUAGCAGUUCUAAGAGAUAUAGACCAGCUGUGCUAUCUUUUUGUGGUUUUCAGUUCUCUAGUAUGUUGAGCAUCUUUUUGUAAGUGUACUUGCCAUCUGUAGAUCUUCUUUGGUGAAGUGUCUGUUCAGAUCUGUGUGCAUUUUUAAUUGGGUUGUUUAACUUAUUGUUUAGUUUUAACAAUUUUUUAUAUAUUUUGAAUACAAAUUCUCAGAUCUGUAUUUUGCAAAUAUUUUCUUCAACAUGUGGCUUGUCUUUUUGUUCUCUUAACAAGGUCUCUUCCAGAGUAUAAACUGUAAAUAUUAAG